GACGAACGCUGGCGGCGUGCUUAACACAUGCAAGUCGAACGGAAAGGCCCUGCUUUUGGGGGGUGCUCGAGUGGCGAACGGGUGAGUAACACGUGAGUAACCUGCCCUUGACUUUGGGAUAACUUCAGGAAACUGGGGCUAAUACCGGAUAGGAGCUCCUGCUGCAUGGUGGGGGUUGGAAAGUUUCGGCGGUUGGGGAUGGACUCGCGGCUUAUCAGCUUGUUGGUGGGGUAGUGGCUUACCAAGGCUUUGACGGGUAGCCGGCCUGAGAGGGUGACCGGCCACAUUGGGACUGAGAUACGGCCCAGACUCCUACGGGAGGCAGCAGUGGGGAAUAUUGCACAAUGGGCGGAAGCCUGAUGCAGCAACGCCGCGUGCGGGAUGACGGCCUGCGGGUUGUAAACCGCUUUCGCCUGUGACGAAGCGUGAGUGACGGUAAUGGGUAAAGAAGCACCGGCUAACUACGUG
rnacentral:rRNA from 1 species